CAAUAGCGUAUAUUAAAGUUGUUGCGGUUAAAAAGCUCGUAGUUGGAUUUCUGCUGAGAACGACCGGUCCGCCCAUUGGGUGUGUAUCUGGCUUGUUCUCGGCAUCUUCUUGGUGAACGUUGCUGCACUUGACUGUGUGGAGCGCUACCCAGGACUUUUACUUUGAGGAAAUUAGAGUGUUUCAAGCAGGCAUAUGCCUUGAAUACAUUAGCAUGGAAUAAUAAGAUAGGACCUCGGUUCUAUUUUGUUGGUUUCUAGAGCUGAGGUAAUGAUUAAUAGGGAUAGUUGGGGGCAUUCGUAUUUAACUGUCAGGGGUGAAAUUCUUGGAUUUGUUAAAGACGGACUACUGCGAAAGCAUUUGCCAAGGAUGUUUUCAUUGA
rnacentral:rRNA from 1 species